UUGUGAGGUUAAGCGACUAAGCGUACACGGUGGAUGCCCUGGCAGUCAGAGGCGAUGAAGGACGUGCUAAUCUGCGAUAAGCGUCGGUAAGGUGAUAUGAACCGUUAUAACCGGCGAUUUCCGAAUGGGGAAACCCAGUGUGAUUCGUCACACUAUCAUUAACUGAAUCCAUAGGUUAAUGAGGCGAACCGGGGGAACUGAAACAUCUAAGUACCCCGAGGAAAAGAAAUCAACCGAGAUUCCCCCAG
rnacentral:rRNA from 1 species